rnacentral:tmRNA from 1 species
GGGGACGAAAUGGUUUCGACUGCAAUGGCGCGUCUGCAACUGCAUACCGAGUGUGCCGUCAACUCGUUAAUAAUGGCGGGACUAAACGUAAAAGCAAACAACGACUACGCACUCGCAGCUUAAGCUGCGACGUCCCUGACAAGUUUGAUCCUCUGGGGCUGUCAAGGGGCGUAAAAUACAGCGGAUAGCGACCGGCCCAGUUCCCGGAACCGGCGCGAAACACUAGGGAAACAGGUCCCAAGGACGGUGCCCUUUCCUGGCUGAGGGACUUAAAUUUAAAAGAAAGGGACAAGUAUGUAGAGGUUGUAGUGGCGUGUUGUAGGACGCGGGUUCGAAUCCCGCCGUCUCCAA